AACAUAUAUAAAUCGUUGGAUUUAUCACUACUUUCAAAAAACAUUUCAGAUUGAAAGCAAAAAUUAAACUAGUUCAAAAAACACACUUGUAGCUUCAAGGCAACAAAGAUAACACAAGAAAGGAGAGGAAGACCAAAGCACAGAAUCCCUGUAGCUCUAAACUUACAAGAAAACUCCAAGAAAGCAGCCAUGAAUAGAACCUUCCCAAACAAAACAAAUAGCGCGAUUAAAAGGAACUAGCUGACCAGAAGAAUAGGCCAUAAGAAAGGUCCAAAUACAAAACAAAAAGAGAGAGAAGCUUCCUUUCUUGGUGAGAUUAGAGGUUCUUCCCAAACAAUCCAGAUGCAAGAAAACCUCAGGGCCUUGAAACCUUCAAAGCCAAAAUAUCAGAAUUGAUUUGCUUGACCAAGAAAUUAACCACAACAUCAUUAGGUUGUGAAAACAUUUAACUAAGUUGCUUACCCACUGAUAAUGUUUGCCAUGCUUCCUUUUCAAAAUGAAAAGGAAUAGGACCAGGGUUUCCACCAUUAAUUGCUUCUAGCGAGACAGAUUCAUGCGAGCAAUGUCACUGUCUGCAGGUUCAAAAAAUCUAUUGUUUUCUAUAGGUUCCUCAGCUUGUUUGCCUUUCGAUUUCUUUUUCCUUUUCCCUCCCCUAUAGAGCUUGGAAGAAAUUUCAUAGAGAUCAUUAGGG
rnacentral:misc_RNA from 1 species